rnacentral:tRNA from 1 species
GGGUCGUUAGCUCAGUUGGUAGAGCAGUUGACUUUUAAUCAAUUGGCGCAGGUUCGAAUCCUGCACGACCCACCA